UGGUGUUUCUGAAGGAGGAAGCUGGUCGCAAGCAAAGGGUUCGUGAUGAAGAUAAACCACUGUCGGUGGUAGAUGAUAACUUGCUGAUUGAAAAAUUUGAAAAUCAUUUUUUGUACAACACGGUAUUGGCAGAAACACCUGAUGCCAUCAAGCAAGUCUCCGUCACCCUGGAUGUGGAAACAGCGCAUGCGCGGCUCGAGGUGUCUG